AUACAAGCUGUAAAACAUAACACUUAUCACGCCUCUUGUAAUUCAAUCAUUGUACAACAUAUCUUUUUCUCAUUUACCAGCCUACUAGUAUCCGUGGGGGUCCAUAGGGGUUCCGCUACCCGUUAACCUUUAACAUUCAUAAUCAGUUUCCAGGGCCGUCCCCAUACCCCGUCCGGUAUGGGCGCCAAAACCAUGAACUUCAAUACCCCGUCCGGUAUGAGGGUGAAACGGGCCGUCCCCAUACCCCGUCCGGUAUGGGCGCCAAAACCAUAAACCUCAAUACCCCGUCCGGUAUGAGGGUGAAACGGGCCGUCCCCAUACCCCGUCCGGUAUGGGCGCCAAAGCCAUAAGAUCUCCAUACCCCGUCCGGCAUGUGAGACCACAAUCCCGGUAGGGUUCCCUACGGACCUGGUCCGUCCACCAUCUCCCAGGAUAUCUAGUCAGGCUGACCCCCAUAAUACAAUUAUCAGUCUACACAAUCUUUCAUUUUCCCUUUCCUCAGUCAGCAUCAUCAAUUCACAUACAAACAAGCAAAACAGUAAUUCAUGCCCAACAGACAACAUACAGUAUCAGUUUUUCAGUCAUUCAACCCAUGAUUAAUAAAAACGUAGUAUAUGCACACAAAUCUGUAAAAUGAACACAUCAAACCUCAUUUUGCAUUUAAAGCU
rnacentral:lncRNA from 1 species